UACGUAGGGGGCUAGCGUUGCUCGGAAUUACUGGGCGUAAAGCGCACGUAGGCGGAUCAUUAAGUCGGGGGUGAAAUCCUGGAGCUCAACUCCAGAACUGCCUUCGAUACUGGCGAUCUUGAGUCCGGGAGAGGUGAGUGGAACUCCGAGUGUAGAGGUGAAAUUCGUAGAUAUUCGGAAGAACACCAGUGGCGAAGGCGGCUCACUGGCCCGGUACUGACGCUGAGGUGCGAAAGCGUGGGGAGCAAACAGG
rnacentral:rRNA from 1 species